rnacentral:misc_RNA from 1 species
AUGGUAAACUUGCUGGAAUCAAUGCACAAAUGCUGCUUACCUUCAGGAGUUCCAAGUGAAUCCCCUGCUGCUUAUGAAAAGAGUUUGGUGCACAAAAUCUUUGGUGGUCGCCUCCGUAGUCAGGUUGAAUGCCAACGCUGCUUGUACUGCUCCAACAAGUUUGAUCCAUUUUUAGAUUUAAGUCUUGAAAUAGUUAAGGCAGGUUCUUUGCCUGUAGCAAUUCAAAACUUUACUGCUGCAGAGCUGCUAGAUGGAGGAGAG